GCCGCUGCUACCUCUCCUCCCCUUUGCUUGGGUCAUUUGAAACCAGAGAGCACCAUUAUUGUUGCUAGAGCUAGCAUUUGUUCUUUUUGAUUGUUCUUGCUUGUUCUUCAUCUCCGGCAUCCAUCGUUGAUCUUCUUCGACUCCGUCAUCGUCUCUUCGUGCUUGGAGGUGACUAUCUUCAUCCUUCCUUGUAUUUUUACGUUGUUUUUGGCUUGUGAUUUUCACAUCAUUUUUAGCUCAAAUCCACUUAUUAUUUUGAAUCCUUCGUUUGAAUUAGUAUCCAUAUAUAUCAUAUUUCAUGGUUGACCUAGUAUUAAUGUAGUUUGCAAGAAUGAAUUAUAGUAUAUUUUUUAUUUUUUUCUUUAUAUUAGAACAUGAGAUGAUAUUAUUAUGUUCUUCUUUAUUACUACAUAAUAUCCAUUGUAUAAUUUAGAAAAUUUGUUGAAGUAGCUAGACAAAUAAAUGAUAUUAUUAGAUUCUUUUUUAAUCAUACUUGUUUACUAGAAAAUGUGGAAUUUGUAAUUGUUUAAAAAUUAAGUAUGGAUAGUAGAUGUAAACCGUGACCGGCUCGGUCUCUCAACGGAUUCAAAAGCGAUACCGGCCGAAACUCCCUCUCAUUACUUGCGACAAGUGUGGGCAGAAGUGUCGGUGUUUUCCCCCGGGGGGUCUCACCAACGAGUAAAUUUGUAUGCGUGCUCCCUUUCCCGGAUGGUGAUGCAAGAAGACACAGAGAUUUAUCCUGGUUCGGGCAAGAGAAGGCCCUACGUCCAGCGGGGGGGAGAGAGUUUGUAUUAUCUCGCACCUAAGUGCUUGUAUAGGGGCGAAUACAAGCGUGGUAUGAAGUGUGGAGCUCUACUACGUAUGAGCGUGGUCUUGUGUCGUGAUCCCUCUGUUCUAUUCCUGAGUCCCUCCUUUUAUAGUUCCAAGGAAGGACCUAGGGUACAUGUAUAGGUGUAGGAAUUGGAGUCGAUAGCAGCAUGGAGCGCUGACCUACUCGAGGUUUCUGUACCGGCAUGACCUCGAGCCGUCCCGUCUUAAUAGCCUGGUGAU
rnacentral:lncRNA from 1 species